GAAAUUCUUUCAGGGAGUGUAAAACAGUACAAGUGGUGGCAGUCUUGCAGGAAAUUGUAUCCAGGCCAGGUGAGUUCUGAUACCUAUAACUUCUUCAGUGGAAUUGAUGUCUUUGUGACAAAACAUUCCGUCAUCACAACCCUUAUUUAUGCUGCAAUUUAGAGAGCUCUAGGCUUGCAGUAUCUACCAUAUUAUAAAGCACUUUAAAACUCCACCUGUGCCCAGAACCCUCCCCACAAACAACCAAGGGCUUUGUCUGUCCCAGCUGAAAUGCCAGCUAACGGGCCAUUGGUGGGGUUUGGGCUUUCCCAAUGAGAAUAUGUGGGUAUAAAUGACUAAGAGACCAAGGCACGCUGGAGAAUCACAAGGGGCUCCUGAGUACCCAGACUAGUGGGAGACAGAGUCACAUGACAACAUUGAAGAAUCGAACCCUCAUGAAUCUGCUCCAAGGCAGGGAUAACAGCAAUUUUCUCUCUCUCCUAUGAAUUAAACUUCCAUUUCCCUUGGUGGCCAGAUCAAGUUACUGAAAGACAAUUUACUUAUCUGGAAAAUGGACUGUGGAGCUAUUCACCAUCUCCAGAAGGAACUGUUUAUGUCCAGAAGCUAUCUGGGCCAAUAAAUUUCCUGACAUGGGAGUCUCCUAAAAUGAUUCAUUCUUCCACCUGUGAAACAAGAACCAAGCUCUCCCACUUCAAGACUAAGCAAGUAGACAGAUCAGCCAGACAGAGAAGUGAGGUGAGAAGAUGGGAGGUGGGCAUCCAUGGCAAAGAAAACAACUGCCUCAUUUCUUCCUCUUUCCCACACCAUCCCCUUUCUUCCUGUUCUGGACACCUAGAACCCCAUCC
rnacentral:lncRNA from 1 species